UGGAAAAUUUCAGCAGAUACAGUGUUAUUAAAAGGUACAUAAUAUCUGAGCAAUUGAGCUAGAUUUAAUGGGCCAAGAGUCAUUGUUAUUAUCAAGCAGAGUAAGACAUCUGAACUUAAAACACCAUUUUCUAUAUUUGAGCUUUGAGGCCAAAGAUGAUGAGCUAAGGCUAAUUAAAAAAAAAAAAAAAAAAAAAAAAAAAAAAGUAUGCCUUCUUCUGAGGAAAGCCCACCAUAUUCAGGGUUUCCUCCUCUGAGAACUGAGGAGAAUUUCCUGUUCAUCCCUGUGGACUCGCACGGCACUUCCCUGUGAAACUUCAUCCAAAAGAUGAAGACAUACCUAAAGUGUGCACCAGAGCAGUUCAUUAAGAUAUUCCUGAAAAGAUCUUCGCUUUGGUGGAGGCUUGGAAGGAACUGCCAAGAGCUUCUGCAGCACAAAGAAUCUUGUUGCAGUGGUCUUUGCCUGAGUGAAGGCAGCAGAGAAGCUGAGUCUUCUAUCCCCAGUGACACAGUUCUGCAGGCUUGCGGUUACCAUGUUACCACGUCUAAUUCAGGUGUACUUCUGUUCUCUAAGAAUCACACUGCCUUAAUGAGAAAUACAGCAUAGCCCACUAAUUUUUUGAGUACAGCUCACCUGAUGGCACAUUUCACAGAGCAGGAAUCCACCAGUUUCAAAUCAUCUGGGACAGAGUGUGGCUGCACAGGGCCAGGAAGAUGAACACAGGAAGAACACAGUCAUCUGCAGUACUGAAGAUGUGGGGUGGUCCAAAAACUGCCCCUCCCCUGGAAUGAACGUCCAUCACACCAGUUCUGUACAUGCUCCACGGUCUCUAUAUCAGCAUGUAUAUUCCUCCUAGGCCAAGCCCUCUGCCCUGCCAGGUCAGUCACAAACCCAUCCAUGAACACGUUUCUGUACCUGCAAUGCUUCAAACCAUCAAUGGGAGAAUGCACACUGAUUGGCUGAGCCCGAAUCACGUGACGAGCAGGGAAGCAUGGGGUGAGGAGUCUCAGCUGGCUGCCAUGACCCUGGACAGAGCUGGAGGAGCCUCAGGGGUUCUCAGCACUGGCUCCCCCUGAAGUGAGCAGUGCUGUUUGCAGAAUGAUUCCAGCCAGGGCGAUGUGGCUAUCCAGGGGCUGGACUGGCCAUGGAAUAAAUCCGGUACUGUUUGGCUUCUUCUGCCCUCUUUUCCACCACUCAAAUCUUCUAUUUUUUGUUUGUUUGCUUACUCUCCUGAUUUGUCUGUUAUAUUUUCUCUGUUCCCUUUGUAUUCCGGGUUUGCACUUCCAAACACCACGCAUGUUUGUAUUUUGGAGGUUUGGGGGACGCGGGGCAAGGGGAACCUGCUCAAGUUGGCGUCUUCAAUAAAUGCUGAUUUACUGAA